rnacentral:sRNA from 1 species
AGCAGCCGCGGUAAUUCCAGCUCCAAUAGCGUAUAUUAAAGUUGCUGCAGUUAAAAAGCUCGUAGUUGAAUUUCGGGAUCAAUAUGUUGGUCGUGCCUCGGUACGUACUAGCUUAUUGGUUUCUUCCUUCUGACGAACCAUAAUGUCAUUUAUUUGGUGUUAUGGGGAAUCAGGACUGUUACUUUGAAAAAUUAGAGUGUUUAAAGCAGGCUCACGCUUGAAUACAUUAGCAUGGAAUAAUGAAAUAGGACGUUUGAUUCUAUUUUGUUGGUUUCUAGGAUCGACGUAAUGAUUAAUAGGGAUAGUUGGGGGCAUUAGUAUUCAAUUGUCAGAGGUGAAAUUCUUGGAUUUAUUGAAGACUAACUACUGCGAAAGCAUUUGCCAAGGAUGUUUUCAUUAAUCAAGAACGAAAGUUAGGGGAUCGAAGACGAUCAGAUACCGUCGUAGUCUUAACCAUAAACUAUGCCGACUAGGGAUCGGAUGAUGUUAAUUUUUAAUGACUCAUUCGGCGCCUUAACC